CGUAUCAAACUCUUUUGUGACAUAGCUCCUGAACUCGUUGAGUUGACGGUCAGAACUCUCUCUUAACUCAUUGAGAAUUUUAAUGAUGGCUGUUUUGAAGUCAUCAUCAUUUAGGUUAUAUAUCUCAUUUUCUUUGGGAUUGUUUUCUGUGUAUUUGUUACUUUCUUUCUGUUCUGGAGAUUUAAUGUAUUUUUUCAUAUUGCUUGAUGUUGUUGAUUUGUGCCUCCGCAUGGAGAUAGAGUUUAGUUGCUCCUUUCACUUGUUUCAGCUGCUGCGGUGGGGGAGCAGCUGUUUAUACUGCACCAACCAGGGACCCUGUCCGCAGUUGCUAACUGGGCCUGGGCCCCUCCUCGUAGCCACAGUGGCCCUUUGGAUUCCCUCCUCUGCCGUGGGGGCCGUCACAGGGGGGCUUCAGGCUGCUGGUGCCUACUGUUGCAGCCCACCUAGAUGUGCUCUCUCCUUGGGGUCUGCAACGGUGUUAUGGGCUUUUCCAGCGGCCAGGGGUGGGAUCACUUAUAUUUGUCGCUCCGUUGCUGUCGGCACCCACAAAAUCUCACUUGUCCUCUAUGGGUCGUAGGAGAGCUAUUGGCAUCUUCUACAGUCUGUGGUUAGUUCACCUAGCUAUGCUGCUUUUGCCCUGGGGUCUUCCAGUCUUGUGGCUGGUGGCUGGGUGCCUUCUACUGGUGCUGUGCAGAGGCUUUCCCUAAGGCUGCUGUGAGCCUGUAGGGUUUCCCCCUAGGCUACGAAGCUGGGUCUCUAGAACUCCCCCCAGCCCCAGUCCUCUCUGAGAUCUCCGGCUAUCCCUAGACCCACGGGGCGGGCAACGGCAGCUGGGGGUUGCCCCGCCCUCUGGGAUUCUCUCCGGGCCUCUCCCGGAGCCGUGAAUGCUCGGCGUGGCCCCUCUGCUAAUGGCAGACAGAGAGUUUUGUCUGCUGCCCGGGCGGAACUCCGGCGCUUCCCGUCCGGGUCGCAGAGCCGGCCUUUGAAACUUCCCUCAGCCCCGGUCCUCUCCGAGAUCUCCGGCAAUCCCUAGUCCCACGGGGCGGGCAACGGCAGCUGGGAGACCUCCGUACCCUCAUUGACUCUCUCUGGGACCCUCCGGGCGCCGCGAACACCCAGCGGGGACUCCCCGCCAAUGGCAGGGAGAGACUCUCCCCGCGGGCUCAGGUGUGCAACUCCAAAGUUUCCCUCUGCGUUUAGGAGUCAUUGUGGGGGGUUUAGGUAGGGUUCUGGUCACCUGUUUCCACCGUCGCUCCUCUGUUGUGUGCUUGCUCCUGCCCUAGAUGUGUGUAGAUCCUCUGGGGGCGUCCGUUGGAAGAAAGCCGCUUGCGGGUACUAGGCUGCUUGUCGGGGUCGGAGAGUUUUCACCUAUUUCCACAUCCUCCCGGAGGAAAGUCCAUCUGCCUUCCGAUGUAUAGUCGCGUGGGUCUCUCAGACGUCCUGAGAUGCUGUCUGGAUAUCCUUUGUCAAGCGAUCAGUGUCCAAAUAAUUGUAGACUCGAAGGGGGAGAGACAAAGAGGACUACUCAUGGCGCCAUCUUGGAUCUUCCCCCAGGGACCAGGACACUUUUGUCUUUCUCCUCCACUAGUCUUGACUCUGAGCUUCCAUCCUCACUGUCAACUCGUGUUUCAAGAUGGCUCCUCAAGCUCCAGUCAAACUGUCUAAGAUGCAGGAGAGGGAGGACACAAAGGCAUUCUAGGUUCAGGAGCUUUCAUGGAGGACCCACCCAAUAGCUUCUGCUCAUACAUUAUUAGAAAGCCCACAGUGCAAGGGGAGGCUGGGGGUCUUGGUUUUUAAGCUCGUCAGACAGCCACCUAAAAUAAGAUGAGGCUUUGGAUAAUAUGAACACAGGAGAGAGUGGAGGUUAGCUGGGCAAUUGGGAGUCUAUCGCAGAAUGGAAAACGCAAGGGAUGAAGCUCAGAGUGAGGGCAGGCAGAAUGGGAGGAACAAAGAAGGAGAAGAAGGGUAGAGAAAUUAAGAGUGGGAGGAGAUGCAGGAGGAGAAAGGAGAAGUGCAGGGGAGUUUUCUCACAUUACCUUUCAGGAGCUGGAACCCCACAGCCCAUGAGACACUCUUUGGCUUGAAGUUAUCCUGAAAUCUGGUCUUUCUCUGUAGAAUUAUGAUUGUGGAGUUCUCUUCACUGGCCUCCCCCAGCAUGUACUGGGUUAGGUUCUCAAGGGCUGUGAAGUAAACUCAACUUUUAUUUUUCCCUCGGGAAAAAAGUUGCUUACACCACAACCACAGAGGCUUGAUUGUCUGUGCGCCAAUGAGAUGCCAUUGUCUUGGCCAUGCUUGAUGAAUUUUUUGAGCUAUCAUUUAAUCCACUUCCUGACAUAAAUGUGAUUGAAUUUAAAAUGAUGAAGGGAGCUGGUGUUCUUGUCCAUUUUGGGUUCUUGUUUCCUGCUCCUCUGUUGGAUGAGCGUUUCAGCUCUUGACAGCUGCCUAAGGUUUGGUUUCUUCCAGUUCUCAAAAAAGAUCUGGGGCAGAGAUACCAGGGCUUAUCUUUGGAGAAAGAAAGAUCUUGGAUCUGAAGGGGUCUGCUUUUAAUUUGUGGACAAACAACAGGCAGGAGGGGGUUUUCUGUUGACAUGCAAUGAGUCUAGGGAGAGAAAACUAACAAAGAAACCCAGGGCUUCUUUAUAUCCACCUGGACGUGUUAUUGGAAGACUGGGGAUGAUGUCAUGGUGGAGAACACGGAACUGGAAGUGGCUGAGUAUCUUCUUACCUGGGGGUUCAGCACUGAAGAGCCAGGUAAUUCUAGAAAAGGGGACAUCAGGGUCUGUGACCAGGAUGAGAUCCACCCUAGAGGAUUUGGCGUUGAAACGUUUGCAUGCAGAGUGGGCGGAGAGACCAACAGUGACUUGAACCUACAUCAAGUGUAUAUCAUGCACAUCAGGUGUAUAUCAGUUGCCUAUGAAAAUUGCUCUUGAAUUUUUGUGGAGUUUAUUCCUGUUCCAGACUAAAGUUUUUCCAGUAAAGGAUACAAGGCUACAUUUUAUUUCAAUUCUUCCCUACCCUUAGCUAGGGAGAAGAAGAUCGGGAGACUGAUGUAUUCUUCUUUUUCAUUUUCAGAGGUGGCCUUGCUGAUCUGGGUGAGUUUUGUGUGGACAGUUGUUCAAAAACAAACAUGGAAUCAGUGGUGGAAAGUGUUGUUUUGGAACUGUCAUUUAGAAAAUGAAGAAAUAUUCCAUAUCAAAAUGCCCUGUUGGGUACUCCCAGAUGGAUGCUUAGAAAAGUUUGUGCAAGGCUCACUCUCUCUUGCAUGGCCAUUUCCCUCCAGUGGAAAUGGGGCAUAUUUGAGGAUAUUGACAGUUCCGAUGGGGCACCAUCCGUUCUGUCUACCACGUGCCUCCAAGGUGAUAGGAACGUAACUAGAGUCUCAGGAGGACCACACAGGAUAAUGAGUUCUCACAGCCCAGUUCUACCAAAUGUUUAUUUUUAUCUAUUUAUUUAUUUACUUUUCAGGUUUUUAUUAACUGUGUACUAUCUCUGGCAAGCUGUGGUUAAUGUUUUGGGGGGGAAAAAACCUUAAAUAUAAUUAAAUAAACUAGAACAUUCCUCACCAAAAUUCCUUAUUUUGAAAAUCCUGGACUUUAGCUGAGAGUCAGACUUCUUUUUUUGCAAAAUCAUAUCUGACUGCAGUCACACACUCCAUUUAUUUGCACAGGCUAACCAAGUACCAAAUGUUUGUUUUUAUUCUCGAAGUUGGUAAGCAAGAUGCUGCCCAUUCCCUGAAUAUGGUUUGCAGUGAAGAGCAGUCAAUUACUGUUUCCUCUUGUCCAAAUGAAUAGUUCUGAUCCAGGCAACGGCUGAAGGUUAUAUACGACCAUGAGAAUCAUGUCUGUUGGGGCUUCAAAAACUAAAUCAACCCAAAUAUAUAACAAAAGAAGCAUGAGAGAAGUGUGAAAAUCAAGAAUGGAGUUUUCAUUUUCUGAAUUCAAGAUUCCUCUAUUUUCAGAAGAUCAAAUGAGGAACUGUCACCUUGCAGGGAACAGCUGUUUUCUGUGGCAGAUGGGAAGAAGGGAUGUGGCCAAUGACAAUUAUCCCUUAAAGCUGCCCCGGAAUUGACACGUCUCUUUGCUCCUACCUCUUUGAAUGAACUAGUCUCAUGCCCAUGCUGACUCCAAGGGGCCAAGAGAUGCAAUCCAACCAUCUGACUGGGACGAACCAGGUACAGUUGAUUCUCAUUAUCCACCAUUAAGUUCUGUUCAGUUGCUGCCAACACUAAAUUGGUGCGUAAUAAACCGUGUUCC
ensembl:lncRNA